UGAUGAUGAUGAUGAUGAUGAUGAUGAUGAUGAUGAUGAUGGUGACACUAAUAUAUUCAGUAAAAAGGUAAAAAGGAAAUAUACACAAUUUUACUUCAUAUAUAGUUAUAUCAAUAUAUAUAUAUAUCAUCAUCAUCAUCAUCACCAUCAUCAUCAUCAUCAUCA
rnacentral:pre_miRNA from 1 species